rnacentral:rRNA from 1 species
GACGAACGCUGGCGGCGUGCCUAACACAUGCAAGUCGAACGAGGUCCAAGGGAGCUUGCUCCCUGAAGACCUAGUGGCGAACGGGUGAGUAACACGUGAGGAACCUGCCCCGGACUCCGGGAUAACCCGAGGAAACUCGAGCUAAUACCGGAUGCCCUCAUCGGAUCGCAUGGUCUGAUGAGGAAAGUUUUUCGGUCCGGGAGGGCCUCGCGGCCUAUCAGCUAGUUGGUGAGGUAACGGCUCACCAGGGCUACGACGGGUAGCUGGUUUGAGAGAACGAUCAGCCACACUGGGACUGAGACACGGCCCAGAGUCCUACGGGAGGCAGCAGUGGGGAAUCUUGCGCAAUGGGCGAAAGCCUGACGCAGCAACGCCGCGUGCGGGAUGACGGCCUUCGGGUUGUAAACCGCUUUCAGCAGGGACGAAGAUGACGGUACCUGCAGAAGAAGCUCCGGCUAACUACGUGCCAGCAGCCGCCGUAACAC